UUUUUUGAGAGUUUGAUCCUGGCUCAGGACGAACGCUGGCGGCGUGCCUGACACAUGCAAGUCGGACGGUUCUUGUACCUUCAAGCUUGCUUGUUGGUGCAAGGAUAGUGGCGGACGGGUGAGUAACGCGUGAACAUCUACCCAUUGGAGGGGGACAACCCGUCGAAAGGCGGGCUAAUACCGCGUAAGCCGCGAGGUGAGAGGCUGCCUAUUGGUGGCCGC
rnacentral:rRNA from 1 species